rnacentral:rRNA from 1 species
UUCCGGUUGAUCCUGCCGGACCCGACUGCUAUCAGAGUGGGACUAAGCCAUGCGAGUCAACGCAGCAAUGCGUGGCAUACGGCUCAGUAACACGUAGUCAACAUGCCCAGGGGACGUGGAUAACCUCGGGAAACUGAGGAUAAACCGCGAUAGGCCAAGGUUUCUGGAAUGAACCAUGGCUGAAACCUACAUGGCCCCUGGAUUGGACUGCGGCCGAUCAGGCUGUUGGUGAGGUAAUGGCCCACCAAACCUGUAACCGGUACGGGCUCUGAGAGGAGGAGCCCGGAGAUGGGCACUGAGACAAGGGCCCAGGCCCUAUGGGGCGCAGCAGGCGCGAAACCUCUGCAAUAGGCGAAAGCUUGACAGGGUUACUCUGAGUGAUGUCCGUUAAGGGCAUCUUUUGGCACUUCUAAAAAUAGUGCAGAAUAAGGGGUGGGCAAGUCUGGUGUCAGCCGCCGCGGUAAUACCAGCACCCCGAGUGGUCGGGACGAUUAUUGGGCCUAAAGCAUCCGUAGCCGGUUCUGCAAGUCUUCCGUUAAAUCCACCUGCUCAACAGAUGGGCUGCGGAGGAUACUACAGGGCUAGGAGGCGGGAGAGGCAAGCGGUACUCAGUGGGUAGGGGUAAAAUCCUCUGAUCCACUGAAGACCACCAGUGGCGAAGGCGGCUUGCCAGAACGCGCUCGACGGUGAGGGAUGAAAGCUGGGGGAGCAAACCGGAUUAGAUACCCGGGUAGUCCCAGCUGUAAACGAUGCAGACUCGGUGAUGGGUUGGCUUCGAGCCAACCCAGUGCCGCAGGGAAGCCGUUAAGUCUGCCGCCUGGGGAGUACGGUCGCAAGACUGAAACUUAAAGGAAUUGGCGGGGGAGCACCACAAGGGGUGAAGCCUGCGGUUCAAUUGGAUUCAACGCCGG